GCAAGUCGAGCGCUACCUUCGGGUGGAGCGGCGGACGGGUUAGUAACGCGUGGGAACGUGCCCUUCUCUAAGGAAUAGCCUCUGGAAACGGAGAGUAAUACCUUAUACGCCCUUUGGGGGAAAGAUUUAUCGGAGAAGGAUCGGCCCGCGUUAGAUUAGGUAGUUGGUGGGGUAAUGGCCUACCAAGCCUACGAUCUAUAGCUGGUUUGAGAGGAUGAUC
rnacentral:rRNA from 1 species